CUCCCGACCCCUGUAGACAUACCUAUACGUUGCCUCGGCGGAUCAGCCCGCGCCCCGUAAAACGGGACGGCCCGCCCGAGGACCCCUAAACUCUGUUUUUAGUGGAACUUCUGAGUAAAACAAACAAAUAAAUCAAAACUUUCAACAACGGAUCUCUUGGUUCUGGCAUCGAUGAAGAACGCAGCAAAAUGCGAUAAGUAAUGUGAAUUGCAGAAUUCAGUGAAUCAUCGAAUCUUUGAACGCACAUUGCGCCCGCCAGUAUUCUGGCGGGCAUGCCUGUUCGAGCGUCAUUUCAACCCUCAAGCUCAGCUUGGUGUUGGGACUCGCGGUAACCCGCGUUCCCCAAAUCGAUUGGCGGUCACGUCGAGCUUCCAUAGCGUAGUAAUCAUACACCUCGUUACUGGUAAUCGUCGCGGCCACGCCGUUAAACCCCAACUUCUGAAUGUUGACCUCGGAUCAGGUAGGAAUACCCGCUGAACUUAAGCAUAUCAAUAAGCGGAGGAAAG
rnacentral:rRNA from 1 species